GAUGAACGCUGGCGGCGUGCCUAAUACAUGCAAGUCGAGCGAACGGACGAGAAGCUUGCUUCUCUGAUGUUAGCGGCGGACGGGUGAGUAACACGUGGAUAACCUACCUAUAAUACUGGGAUAACUUCGGGAAACCGGAGCUAAUACCGGAUAAUCUUUUGCACCGCAGGGUUCAAAAGUGAAAGACGGUCUUGCUGUCACGUAUCGCUGGAUCCGCGCUGCAUUAGCUAGUUGGUAAGGUAACGGCUUACGAAGGCAACGAUGCAUAGCCGAGCUGAGAGGGUGAUCGGCCACACUGGAGCUGAGACACGGUCCAGACUCCUACGGGAGGCAGCAGUAGGGAAUCUUCCGCAAUGGGCGAAAGCCUGACGGAGCAGCGCCGCGUGAGUGAUGAAGGUCUUCGGAUCGUAAAACUCUGUUAUGAGGGAAGAACAUAUGUGUAAGUAACUGUGCACAGCUUGACGGUACCUAAUCAGAAAGCCACGGCUAACUACGUG
rnacentral:rRNA from 1 species